rnacentral:rRNA from 1 species
UACGUAGGGUGCAAGCGUUGUCCGGAAUUAUUGGGCGUAAAGAGCUCGUAGGCGGUUAGUCGCGUCUGCUGUGAAAACUCGGGGCUUAACUCCGGAACUGCAGUGGGUACGGGCUGACUAGAGUGCGGUAGGGGAGACUGGAAUUCCUGGUGUAGCGGUGAAAUGCGCAGAUAUCAGGAGGAACACCGGUGGCGAAGGCGGGUCUCUGGGCCGUAACUGACGCUGAGGAGCGAAAGCGUGGGGAGCGAACAGG